GUCCACACCGUAAACGAUGGAUACUAGGUGUCCGGGACUUCGGUCCUGGGUGCCCAAGGGAAACCGAUAAGUAUCCCACCUGGGGAGUACGUCCGCAAGGAUGAAACUCAAAGGAAUUGACGGGGGCCCGCACAAGCGGUGGAGCAUGUGGUUUAAUUCGAUGAUACGCGAGGAACCUUACCUGGGCUAGAAUGCCCUCGACCGGCCGUGAAAGCGGUCUUCCCUUCGGGGCGAGGUGCAAGGUGCUGCAUGGUUGUCGU
rnacentral:rRNA from 1 species